GGAGAGACUGGGAGACCGCGUGUCCAUCCGGAGGAGCCCCAGCUCAGACGCCUGGAGGAGGAGAUCGCUAAGGUGAUCGUGCAGAUGUCGGUUGAGUUCGCCCAGCAGACCGAAGAGGCCCGGAUCAGCAGACAGACCCGCGAGACGAGCACCGGCACACAGACGGACCGCAGUGAGGAUGAGGAGGACCGACUGAACUCUGUUGAGCCUGAUGAAGACGGAGCUGGAGCUGCAGAGCAGA